rnacentral:tRNA from 1 species
GGCUUCGUAAUGUAGUGGUCAGCACGCUUGACGCGUAACCGAGAGGUCCGUGGUUCGAUUCCCGGCGAAGGCG